GGAGGUAGGUUUACUACGUAGGCGCCAUGGAUGGUGAAUCGUGCAUACUACUGGCACGGACCGGUAGUAUCUAUGAGGAUUCCUACCUCC
rfam:Glossina brevipalpis unplaced genomic scaffold Scaffold152, whole genome shotgun sequence.